AAUUAAAGACAAAAAAAAAUUCCGUUUUCGAAAAUUAAUUAAAAAAAACUGCCAAAGUGUGAAAUUGGACAGAAAUCACAAAAGAAAGAACAAAAAAAACCAAAAAGAACAUAAACAUGACCCCAAAGGUGUUUGAAGGUGUUGGAGUGAUGCCACAAGUGCCGCAUGGAGCAGUGCAAUUACCGCCGGCGUCGCCGACAGUUCAAGAUGAAUCGGAAUCAGAUGACAGUGACGAGGAAUUACUCGUGUCGAGAAUAAUGCCAUGGUAUCGACAUAAAUAUUUCUACCGUUUCCUCGUACCACCGACGCAUUCACGUUGCAAGACGAUUUCUGCCCAGAUCAAGGGAACGCAUCGUCGGAAUACGAGGUGGUCGGGUGGAUGCGUGUGAAACGCUGUUCCGAAAUCUGGAAAGUGGAUGCGCUCGUGAGCAGUGGCAUAUUCCAUCAGGAUGGGAUGGGGAAUUCAGCAUCAAUUGGACAGAAGGGGAACCAGCAUAACGAGGGUCCAUAAGCAUUAGCCCUACUCACGUUAAAAAAAUGUGGUUCAGAUCCUUCGGAGGAAUGUCGAUUUCGUUUCAUUA